rnacentral:rRNA from 1 species
UGGGGAAUUUUGGACAAUGGGCGAAAGCCUGAUCCAGCAAUGCCGCGUGUGUGAAGAAGGCCUUCGGGUUGUAAAGCACUUUUGUCCGGAAAGAAAUCCUUGGCUCUAAUACAGUCGGGGGAUGACGGUACCGGAAGAAUAAGCACCGGCUAACUACGUGCCAGCAGCCGCGGUAAUACGUAGGGUGCAAGCGUUAAUCGGAAUUACUGGGCGUAAGCGUGCGCAGGCGGUUUGCUAAGACCGAUGUGAAAUCCCCGGGCUCAACCUGGGAACUGCAUUGGUGACUGGCAGGCUAGAGUAUGGCAGAGGGUGGUAGAAUUCCACGUGUAGCAAUGAAAUGCGUAGAGAUGUGGAGGAAUACCGAUGGCGAAGGCAGCCCCCUGGGCCAAUACUGACGCUCAUGCACGAAAGCGUGGGGAGCAAACAGGAUUAGAUACCCUGGUAGUCCACGCCCUAAACGAUGUCAACUAGUUGUUGGGGAUUCAUUUCCUUAGUAACGUAGCUAACGCGUGAAGUUGACCGCCUGGGGAGUACGGUCGCAAGAUU